rnacentral:rRNA from 1 species
GCCAUGCCGCGUGUGUGAAGAAGGCCUUUUGGUUGUAAAGCACUUUAAGCGAGGAGGAGGCUACCGAGACUAAUACUCUUGGAUAGUGGACGUUACUCGCAGAAUAAGCACCGGCUAACUCUGUGCCAGCAGCCGCGGUAAUACAGAGGGUGCGAGCGUUAAUCGGAUUUACUGGGCGUAAAGCGUGCGUAGGCGGCUGAUUAAGUCGGAUGUGAAAUCCCUGAGCUUAACUUAGGAAUUGCAUUCGAUACUGGUCAGCUAGAGUAUGGGAGAGGAUGGUAGAAUUCCAGGUGUAGCGGUGAAAUGCGUAGAGAUCUGGAGGAAUACCGAUGGCGAAGGCAGCCAUCUGGCCUAAUACUGACGCUGAGGUACGAAAGCAUGGGGAGCAAACAGGAUUAGAUACCCUGGUAGUCCAUGCCGUAAACGAUGUCUACUAGCCGUUGGGGCCUUUGAGGCUUUAGUGGCGCAGCUAACGCGAUAAGUAGACCGCCUGGGGAGUACGGUCGCAAGACUAAAACUCAAAUGAAUUGACGGGGGCCCGCACAAGCGGUGGAGCAUGUGGUUUAAUUCGAUGCAACGCGAAGAACCUUACCUGGUCUUGACAUAGUAAGAACUUUCCAGAGAU